GACGAACGCUGGCGGCGUGCUUAACACAUGCAAGUGGGGCGACGAACCAGGCUUCGGCCUGGGGCAAAGCCGCGAACGGGUGAGUAACACGUGGGUAACCUGCCCCGAAGACCGGGACGAACCCGGGGAAACCCGGGCUAAUACCGGAUGUGGUCAUCGUUCAUAAGGACGAUGAGCAAAGGAAGCUUCGGCCUCCGCUUCGGGAUGGGCCCGCGGCCCAUUAGCUUGUUGGUGAGGUAACGGCUCACCAAGGCUUCAUGGGUAGCUGGUCUGAGAGGACGAUCAGCCACACUGGGACUGAGACACGGCCCAGACUCCUACGGGAGGGCAGCAGUGGGGAAUCUUGCGCAAUGCGCGAAAGCGUGACGCAGCAACGCCGCGUGGGGGAAGACGGCCUUCGGUUGU
rnacentral:rRNA from 1 species